rnacentral:tRNA from 1 species
GCAUUGGUGGCCCAGUGGUAGAGCUCCCGCCUGCCACGCCGGAGGCAAGUGUUCGUAUCCUGGCCAAUGCC